rnacentral:rRNA from 1 species
UAAGCAUAUCAGUAAGCGGAGGAAAAGAAACUAACCAGGAUUCUCCUAGUAACGGCGAGUGAACGGAGAUUAGCCCAUCACCGAAGUCUAUCUGCUCUUGUGGACAGGACAAUGUGGUGUUUCUACGUGCACCUGGGAACGCUUGUCUACCCGAAGUCCAUCUCCGAUUCUGGCUUGGACUAUGCCCACAGCGGGUGAAAGGCCCGUUUGGGUAGGCAUUGGAUCAUUAAGCGUUCCUCAGAUGUGCAUGUACUCGAGUCGGAUUGCUUGAGAAUGCAGUCCAAAGUGGGUGGUAAACUCCAUCCAAGGCUAAAUACUGGCGCGAGUCCGAUAGUAGACAAGUACCGUGAGGGAAAGUUGAAAAGUACUCUGAAGAGAGAGUAAAUAGCACGUGAAGCCGCUUGCAGGGAAGCUGGUGGAGUCAAGCUUCUUGUCUUGAGGAUUGCCAUGAGAGCAUGAUCCUGUGAUGGGACAUGGUGUUGGCUAGCCUGGAAACGGUUUGGUGCACUAACAUGCACUGCAAGUCGCUCUGGGGAGAGUGUUUGUGCCAGCACCCAUCUCCCAGCUCUCCUGGUUUAUCCUCUCUGACAUACAUCACGGUCGAUGGGCUGUGUGCUGUGUGAGUGCUUAACAGUGUCUUUGUGGACUUAAUCGUCUGCUGGGCAUUGAAUGGCAGAAGGCAUGUACAGGUUUCGGCCUGUACUAUGCGUAUCAUGGUUUAGACCUGCUAGUGCUCAUGUACAGUAUCCAGACCAUCGUUCUUAUGCGGCGUCUCCUCCUCGGAGUGGGUGCCUGUGAGAACCGUGAUGCUGAGGUAGACCUUCCACCCGACCCGUCUUGAA